CAAUUUUUUCUCCUUUUAGAUUCUUCCCUAUAGUUAUCCUAUUCAUUUACAUUGUUUUACUGAUUCUUGGACAUGGGCCAAGAAGUGGCUGGAAGCAUUUCCUAAUCUUUGCAAUGGUAUAACAAAUAUUGUUACAUUUCCAUCUGCAGAAUCAGUACAUGAAGUAGGAAGAAAUAUUCCUCUAAAUCGUUUGCUGUUAGAAACAGAUGCUCCUUAUUUUGUGCCAAAAGUGAUAUCCAAAGGAAGACUAUUUUCUCAUCCUGGUAUGGCCAUACAUGUUGCUGCUCAAAUUGCUGCUUUGAAAAAUAUUUCUAUGGAAAAAGUUCUUCAGGCCACUUCUGCAAAUACAAAAAGAAUAUAUCGUUUGUAAUAAACAUAGAAAUCACAUUUAUAGGUAGAUUUUAAUUGUGCAUUUACGUUCUAGUAUAGAACAUGAUUUUAUUUGUAUAGUUGAUAAAAUGUACAUAAGCUAAUAAAUAAUUUGUUGUUACUAAAAA